rnacentral:tRNA from 1 species
UGUAGCUCAGUAGUAGAGCACUUGCCUCAUAUGUAAAGAUCCUGGAUUAAAUCUCCAGCA